UUGAAGAGAGAGUUAAAAGGGCGUGAAACCGCUUGGAAGUAAACGGAUGGAACUGCAAUGCAGUCUACAGAAUUCAGUUUGUCGUACGUCCAUCGGCUGGUAAACGAUCGCAAGACGUGAGCCGGUCGUUUGGACGUUUCGACGAAUGUAUUUUCUGUAGACGAGCGUCACGACCGAUUGACCCGCUAACAGAAAGAUAGUUGAAAGUGGACUGUUACUUCGGUAUACAGUGACCCGUCAAUUAUUCUGUUUGAGUCGGGACGAUCGAGAAUAGACCGUGUCGGGAUUCGCAGGUGUUUUCGACAUAUGGGCUGAAUAUAACUUGUGAGACAUGCUUGCAUGGCUGACAGACCCUCGGCUCAGACUGUUAUUACACUCUGCAUUGACACAUAUGGUCUGUGGCGUCAGUGUCAGUCACCCAUCCGACCCGUCUUGAAACACGGACCAAGGAGUCUAACAUGUGCGCAAGUCAUUGGGUUAUAAACCCAAAGGCGCAAUGAAAGUGAAUAUAGUGGGAUUUUGAGUCUACGGACUUGAACGCACCACUGUCCCGUCUGAUCUGCAUGUCAGAUAGGCGGAGAAAGAGCGUACACGUUGGGACCCGAAAGAUGGUGAACUAUGCCUGAGCAGGAUGAAGCCAGAGGAAACUCUGGUGGAAGUCCGUAGCGGUUCUGACGUGCAAAUCGAUCGUCAGA
rnacentral:rRNA from 1 species